AUACAAGAAAAUUUCCACCAAUUCAUUUGCAGGAACCCGAACUUUCCCAGAUAUAAAACUUCCCAGCCCCAUUCUCACUGCAACCAAAAUCUCUAACUGAUCCUUUUGACAUUUCAAGAGAGCCUCCUUAGAAAGAUCAGACCUUCUCUCAAGCCGGUUUUGAAGACCUACUAAUUCUUCUUUCUUUUCUGGCAUCGCAACAAGAUUCUUUAAAUACUCCUUAGUUGAUGCUAAUGUUUCUUCCGCCAGCUCCUGAAUUAUCUGAGCCAUAACAGGAAUAGACUCCCAUACAAUUUCAUGGAGAAUUUUCUCCGGUCUAGAGAGCUUUCUUG
rnacentral:misc_RNA from 1 species